AAAGAGAAAUUUCAUCAUCAUGGUUAUAAAAAUGUUAUAUAUGAUAAUAAAAACAAUAUGAUCAAAACAUGGAUUUAAUUUCAAGAGUAAGAUUCAUAAAUCAACGAUAAUUUGGUCAGAAAAAGAAACCAAUUUUGUCGUGAAUAGUACCUCGUGAAUAGUAACUCAUGAAUAGUAACUCUUAAAUAGUAACUCAUGAAUAGUAACUCAUGAAUAGUACUCUGUAUUCGUACAUAGUACCGUAUAUGUAAAUAAUGUCAUAUACAUGAAUAGUGUCGUAUACGUGAAUAGUAAC
rnacentral:lncRNA from 1 species